rnacentral:tRNA from 1 species
GAGGGGGUUAUAAGAACUGCUAACUCUUUAACCUGGAAAUAACCUCCAGCCCCCUCU